UGCAGGGUAUAGACCCGAAACCCGGUGAUCUAGCCAUGGGCAGGUUGAAGGUUGGGUAACACUAACUGGAGGACCGAACCGACUAAUGUUGAAAAAUUAGCGGAUGACUUGUGGCUGGGGGUGAAAGGCCAAUCAAACCGGGAGAUAGCUGGUUCUCCCCGAAAGCUAUUUAGGUAGCGCCUCGUGAAUUCAUCUUCGGGGGUAGAGCACUGUUUCGGCUAGGGGGUCAUCCCGACUUACCAACCCGAUGCAAACUACGAAUACCGAAGAAUGUUAUCACGGGAGACACACGGCGGGUGCUAACGUCCGUCGUGAAGAGGGAAACAACCCAGACCGCCAGCUAAGGUCCCAAAGUCAUGGUUAAGUGGGAAACGAUGUGGGAAGGCACAGACAGCCAGGAUGUUGGCUUAGAAGCAGCCAUCAUUUAAAGAAAGCGUAAUAGCUCACUGGUCGAGUCGGCCUGCGCGGAAGAUGUAACGGGGCUAAACCAUGCACCGAAGCUGCGGCAGCGACACUAUGUGUUGUUGGGUAGGGGAGCGUUCUGUAAGCCUGCGAAGGUGUGCUGUGAGGCAUGCUGGAGGUAUCAGAAGUGCGAAUGCUGACAUAAGUAACGAUAAAGCGGGUGAAAAGCCCGCUCGCCGGAAGACCAAGGGUUCCUGUCCAACGUUAAUCGGGGCAGGGUGAGUCGGCCCCUAAGGCGAGGCCGAAAGGCGUAGUCGAUGGGAAACAGGUUAAUAUUCCUGUACUUGGUGUUACUGCGAAGGGGGGACGGAGAAGGCUAUGUUAGCCGGGCGACGGUUGUCCCGGUUUAAGCAUGUAGGCUGGUUGUCCAGGCAAAUCCGGAUAAUCAAGGCUGAGGUGUGAUGACGAGGCACUACGGUGCUGAAGUAACAAAUGCCCUGCUUCCAGGAAAAGCCUCUAAGCAUCAGGUAACAUCAAAUCGUACCCCAAACCGACACAGGUGGUCAGGUAGAGAAUACCAAGGCGCUUGAGAGAACUCGGGUGAAGGAACUAGGCAAAAUGGUGCCGUAACUUCGGGAGAAGGCACGCUGGUGUGUAGGUGAAGUCCCUGCGGAUGGAGCUGAGACCAGUCGAAGAUACCAGCUGGCUGCAACUGUUUAUUAAAAACACAGCACUGUGCAAACACGAAAGUGGACGUAUACGGUGUGACGCCUGCCCGGUGCCGGAAGGUUAAUUGAUGGGGUUAUCCGUAAGGAGAAGCUCUUGAUCGAAGCCCCGGUAAACGGCGGCCGUAACUAUAACGGUCCUAAGGUAGCGAAAUUCCUUGUCGGGUAAGUUCCGACCUGCACGAAUGGCGUAAUGAUGGCCAGGCUGUCUCCACCCGAGACUCAGUGAAAUUGAACUCGCUGUGAAGAUGCAGUGUACCCGCGGCAAGACGGAAAGACCCCGUGAACCUUUACUAUAGCUUGACACUGAACAUUGAGCCUUGAUGUGUAGGAUAGGUGGGAGGCUUUGAAGCGUGGACGCCAGUCUGCGUGGAGCCAACCUUGAAAUACCACCCUUUAAUGUUUGAUGUUCUAACGUUGGCCCCUUACCGGGGUUGCGGACAGUGUCUGGUGGGUAGUUUGACUGGGGCGGUCUCCUCCCAAAGCGUAACGGAGGAGCACGAAGGUUAGCUAAUCCUGGUCGGACAUCAGGAGGUUAGUGCAAUGGCAUAAGCUAGCUUGACUGCGAGCGUGACGGCGCGAGCAGGUGCGAAAGCAGGUCAUAGUGAUCCGGUGGUUCUGAAUGGAAGGGCCAUCGCUCAACGGAUAAAAGGUACUCCGGGGAUAACAGGCUGAUACCGCCCAAGAGUUCAUAUCGACGGCGGUGUUUGGCACCUCGAUGUCGGCUCAUCACAUCCUGGGGCUGAAGUAGGUCCCAAGGGUAUGGCUGUUCGCCAUUUAAAGUGGUACGCGAGCUGGGUUUAGAACGUCGUGAGACAGUUCGGUCCCUAUCUGCCGUGGGCGCUGGAGAAUUGAGGGGGGCUGCUCCUAGUACGAGAGGACCGGAGUGGACGCAUCACUGGUGUUCGGGUUGUCAUGCCAAUGGCACUGCCCGGUAGCUAAAUGCGGAAGAGAUAAGUGCUGAAAGCAUCUAAGCACGAAACUUGCCCCGAGAUGAGUUCUCCCUGAGACUU
rnacentral:rRNA from 1 species